UUUUGGAGAAACAGAUGAUGAUUUUGGAGAAAAGAUGAAUUUUCGAGUUCGUUUGUUGUAUAAAGAUGAAUCUGAGCCUUGCAUUGGGAUAAGGAAGAUCAUAGAUGAAGAAGAGGCCACUUGCUCCUCUUCUAAGAAACAAAGGCAACUCUUUCCCACAAGCUCGGGAUUAUAGCUUUAAAUAUAGGUGAUGUACGUAUCAGUAAUCAGCAGCGAGAUUGGGGACACUGCCUAUGAAGGGAACAUGUACGUACAAUUUGGGUUGGCAAAAAUUCAUUCUUUUUAUAUUUCAUUUCGAAACAGAAUCACAUUUUCCAUUUCCUGACAAAUAGAUAAAUUGCAGAAGCUUUGGAAUCCAAUGGAGCUCAAAUAAUUUCUCCCCAACCAUCAAGUUCUACUGAAGUUGCAUAGUCUCCGUUAAUAUCUAUUGUAAAAUGUACUAACAUUCUUUUUCUUUUUUAACAAGUGCAAGAAACACAUUUUAUUAAUUAAUCAUCUCUGAAAUUUAUGUAAUCUAAGAAAAGAAACACUGCUAGACCAUUGGAUGUAAAUCCCCCUAUUAAUAUUCUCAUUUCUUGUUCAAUGUAUUGCCAAUGUCUAGCACGAAAUGAUAUUUCACAUCCGAUUUCAGAAGACGUUCCAAUGCUGUGUUCACAUAGUCCAUUGGCACAACUUCAAUAUCUGGUGUUAUGUUAUGCUUUGCCGCGAAAUCCAACAUUUCUUGUGUCUCUUUCAUCCCUCCUAUACAACUUCCAUCCACUAGUUUCCUUCCACAUUAUAUAUACAAACUUUAGUCUAAGAAAAAAGACAGUCCGGUGCACUAAGCUUUCAUCUGAACUUUUUUGUUUGAAAUCAUGCAUAAAGAAAACUAUACAUGCUUACCCAUAAGUAGUGGAAACACGGGCAACUCAACCGGUUUCUUUGGUGUACCAACCAUGACAAGAUUUCAAUAACAUAAACAAUGGAAGAAUUCAAAUGUAGUCUCUAUUGAUGCAUGGCUACUGUCAAAUUUACACAGUAGUGUAUGAUCGCUGAAGUAUUGAUCAUGCUUAAGAAGGCUUGUUCAUCUUGGAUGUUAUUGCCAACAAAUUUUAAUCCAAGAAGGCUUGUUCAUCUUGAUCUCCGAUGGAGUUCAUUGCAUUAUUUAAGUUGCAACAAUUUCUGUCUCUACGAAGGAUAGAUCUAAGUCACUCCAAAAGCCUGAAGAGAACAUCAGAUUUCAAGGGGAUGCCAAAUUUGGAGUAUUUGAAUCUAGGUCAAUGUACGAGUCUUGAAGAGGUUCAUCCUUCCCUCAAGUAUUGCAAAAAACUCAUCCAGUUACAUUUGUUUGAGUGUAGAAGCCUUGAGAGGUUUCCAUAUGUUAAUGUGGAAUCUCUUGAGUAUUUGAAUCUAAAUUACUGCG